rnacentral:misc_RNA from 1 species
GUUUAUAAGAGACGGGUGAGUCAUCGAAUCUUUGAACGCACAUUGCGCCCGCCAGUAUUCUGGCGGGCAUGCCUGUUCGAGCGUCAUUUCAACCAUCAAGCCCCCGGCUUGUGUUGGGGACCUGCGGCUGCCGCAGGCCCUGAAAACCAGUGGCGGGCUCGCUAGUCACUCCGAGCGUAGUAAUACAUCUCGCUCAGGGCGUGCUGCGGGUUCCGGCCGUUAAAAGCCUUAUUUACCCAAGGUUGACCUCGGAUCAGGUAGGAAGACCCGCUGAACUUAAGCAUAUCAAUAAGCGGAGGA